UCGAGGAUCUUUCGCAAUGGGCGAAAGCCUGACGAAGCGACGCUGUGUGAGCGAUGAAGGCCUUCGGGUUGUAAAGCUCUUUCGCACAGGAACAAGAAAGGUUGGUGAAUAGCCGAUCGAUUUGAGAGUAUUGUGUAAAGAAGCACCGGCUAACUCCGUGCCAGCAGCUGCGGUAAUACGGAGGGUGCAAGCAUUAAUCGGAAUUAUUGGGCGUAAAGGGCGCGUAGGCGGAAUUGAAAGUCAGAUGUGAAAUUCCGGAGCUCAACUCCGGAACUGCAUUUGAAACUUCAAAUCUAGAGGGAUGGCGGAGAAAAUGGAAUUCCACGUGUAGCGGUGAAAUGCGUAGAUAUGUGGAAGAACACCAGUGGCGAAAGCGGUUUUCUAGCUAUUUCCUGACGCUGAGGCGCGAGAGCAAGGGGAGCAAACAGG
rnacentral:rRNA from 1 species